CCUCUAUCGACCUCCUCUAAAUAAAAAUGCACUUUCCAAGGUCUUUAAGGUUCCAACGUGGGAGUGUAGGAAUUUACACUCUGUCCUUUUGGUGCUGUGUCCUCUUAGCGCAAUAAAAGCAUCUGGUGCUUGAGGAGGCCUGCACACAUUUAGGCAGCCGCUUAGCAAACACCUCUUGGCUGGGACCUCAGAGGGUCCUAAGGGGCGCAACUAGCUGUGACGGGGUGACAAGCGUGGGAUCACAGGGACUGGAGAGGUGAACUCCGCCUGCCAAGAACUGGGGGAGGAUUUUCAAAGGCACAACGUCUUCAUUGGGCCGAGAAGGACGAAGUCCGAUGUUCCCUGGCAAAGAGGGGAGACUUGGCAAGGCAAAGAGAACCGCAUGACCACACAUGGGUCUCGGAAGACACACUGCCACGGAGGGUGUGUGUCGGGCCAGGAGCUGAGAAGGCAGGCGGAGCUAGCGGGAGCCCGCGGGGGGGAAUGUCGGUGGGUCGCGUGUGGAAUGGUUGGCACGACGGAGGAGCGGGCCUAUCCCGCACCCGGGAGGGAGGCGGGAGAAGCAGGUCGCCAAGAAAAUCAGGAGUUGUUUUGCUCACUGGUGAGCUUGUGGCGCUUAGUGACACGUGCUAGUCCCGCGCUGGUCUCAAAGAUCACCUGCUGCAGUCACCUGAAGGGUUUAAAUAAAAACACAUGUCCCCUGGACUCGCCCUUCCUUACCCAAACUCAGAUCUACAGAACGGGAGUUCCUGUUUGGGAAGAGUUUGGGGAGUGGGAGCAAAGCAGAGCCGUCAAAGAAGGUUGAGAAUGAGAACCCCGAAGUACCCGAAGAUGGAGAGAGCGAGGGUGUGCCCUUAAUGAGGCCCCCCCCCCCCAAAAGAAUUGGCCAUCACUGGCAGGUCCCCGGAGGCCCCCACCCGGUCCACAAGCCACCCCUGAGCCUCACGCCACCGGGGGACGGAAGAGAGUCCCCGGGCCACCGGAGGAGCUGUCUUUUUACGGGCUGGGCUCGAUGCAGGAGCAGCGAGGCCUACAGGGAAGCCACAUCUGACUCCGGGGGAUUUAUGGUAAUAGGAAAAGGCAAUGUGACAUAAGUGAUCGUCAAAGUCUAGUUUGAAUCCUAAAACGGCCACUUGAGCUGGAGCCUCGUCCAAGUAAGCGCCCUUACCUGAACAUACAGGUUGCAGGCGUGUCCACGGGGCACUGUGAGGGUUAAUACACUCAAGCGAUAAUGCACUCCCUAGCCUACAGGGAGCUCUAACACAUCGGUACAUUCCCUUCAGAAAUGUUUUCCUAUUCCAAACCCGCCUUCCUAUUUUAGGGCCUUUCAAAGUUAGGAAUGCCUCUUUUCUGUGGACCAGACUGCACUUUGUUUUGUUUAUGUUAACCGUUUUUAUUCCAUACAAUCAUUCUCUACAUGCAUUUUAUAGCUUUCCUUUUUAUGACGGAUGAGCCAAUAUUGAAACUUGGCUACUAAGGCCCCUGGUUUACGGCCGGUUCACUGCUGUGUCGUGCAUUCUGUGGGUUUUGACAAAUGUAUGACAUUUUGGCCCCAUUGUAUCUUACAGAGUAGUUUCCCUGCCCUCUCCCCCAUGCUCUGCCUACUCAUCCUUCCCUCCCAUCCCCAGCAACCAGUGAUCAUUCUCUUGUCUCCAUGGUUUUGCCUUUUCCAGAAUGUCAUCUAGUUGGAUUCAUACAGCACGUAGCCUUUUCAGAUCGCCUUGUGAAGUAAUUCACAUUUAAGGUCCCUCCGUGUCUGUUCGUGAAAUGAUAGUUCAUUUCCUUUUUUGCUGAAGAAUCCAUUGCCUGGAUGGACCACAGUUUAUUUAUCCAUCCACCUACUGAAGGAUAUCUUGGUUGCUCCCAGGAGUUGGCGAUUAUGAGUGAAACUGCUCUAAACGUCCGUGUGCAGGGUGUAUAUGGACGUACAUUUUCAACUUAUGAGUAGAUACCAAAGAGUGCAGUCGCUAAGCCGCAUGCAGUGAAUGGGAGUUCCUGCUGUCCUCAUCAGCAGUUGUCAGUGCUUUGGAUUUUAGCCAUUCUAGAUGGAAAAUCAGUGCGUGGGCCGUGAAAGGGAAGUCCAGCCUCACGGAGGGGCUUUUCCUGUGGGUCUCCAGAACAUUCCUCCCACCCCACCCACCUCAUGACAAACUGAGGCAAUGUCCUAAUGCUUCCGGAUAACAAAGCGUCUGAGGCUCUCAAGUUCAGUGUGAAAAUACGCACAUGUUCGGCUGUAUUGGAAAGCACGGCAAAGAGAAAGUGAGAUUCUCCGCAAGACACGUGGAGUAAGGAUAAGUGAGCCAGUUUUUAAGCUGAGGCUUCCUGUAGGAGUUGCAGCAGCCGUGUGACUCUGGACAAAUAUCACCGAGAGAGAGGCGUCCAGAGGACCUCCCUGCUCCAGAGGAGGCUGCCCCGAGGGCUGCUGUAAUGCCAGGACGGAGGAUGCUGACUGUCCAGAAAGAUGCUGGCGACAGCCCGGUCCCACCUGCAGUGGCCCCUGCUGAAGGCCGACGGGGCCCCGGGAGGACGAGCCAGCCCGGCCGCCUGCACGCUCGGAGCCGACGGGGGCCUGGAGGCCGGGUGGGGAGGUGGGCGCCGGCCAGUGCUCGUCUGCAAGGAGUCGAGAGAGGACACUUUCCAAGAGGCGCGAGACACAGCUUUCCCCAGGGCUGGUGGUCUUGAAAACGCUCCCCUGCUCCCAUCAGCCCAUCCCCAGGGCCUCAGCCGGAUUGCGCCCUGGAGCCCAGACUGGCAGGCAGGCCCUUUGGGGUAUCUUCUCCCCUUCUCCAUCGCCCCGGGAUCCUACCCAGCUGCCUCAGGUUUGCGGUCUCUGCAUUUGGCUCCAUCGUGAAAGGAGAAGGGAGAGAUUAGACCUGGGAAUAUCUGCGGAACAAGAAAUGUCUUGCGCAUGUGAGCACUCGGUCGGUGCUGGAGCCCGUCACAGUUUGCAGUUUCUGUUGGUUUACGUGUACGCAGUUCUUCUCCCCAACUAGAAGGCAGGGGUGCUGACAGGUCGCUAAGGUGAGGACUGAGGCUUGACAACGGAGGAGGUGACCGGUGACUCUGGCAAGGGUGGUUUCCACGGAGCAGCGGAGUAAGAGGCUGAGUGGCGUGGCUCCAGCCAACAAGGGGAGGGGAAAAGCGAGUGACCGUGACUGUGAACAGAAGAGUCUUGCUGCAAAGUCUCCAAAUUAACAACCACCUCCAACUGGAAAUCACACUUCCGCGUGGGAGCAGAAAAGGCAGCUGUGCAGACGGACCAGGGCUUGGAAGGCAGUAGAAUAUGCGCCCCCCCCCCCCAAAACAUGCCACUUUGGCCUCAGGAUUAUUUUGAGCUGAGAGCAACUGAGAAGAAGCAGAUACGAGAACAGCUCUCUGCCGUCGCCUCUUCACCCAAACGCAGGACAAGACUCUGUAAAGGCGCCCAGCUUCCCUCUCUGCCAGGAAGGACAGAAGUGAACCGCCGGCGAGAACUCUCGACCCUUACCUAGACGACAGCAGACACACCUACCUAACGCCUCGAUCACCCUUGUCUUCCCUUAGUCCCCCGACGUGAUAACCUUCUCAGUUUGCCACCCUACAAACUCCCAGUCCUUUUCUUGGUCUCGCUACUUCCCUAAAUACAUUUAUUGUUCUUUUGUUAGGAUGCUGUGUAAGCCCAAGUUCCAACUACCCCGUGAAUUACUCCUCGCUGAGCACUUCUGUGCACACAUGAUGCACCUGUUAAUACAGGUGUUCCUCUUGUUAAUCUUGAAGUUUUUCCUCCCCUACACCCCUUUGGGCUAUUCCUGCCACCUCUCCCCUCCCCCCGCCUUUAUUUUUGACUUUCUUCCCUGCCCUUUUACUCCUCCCCUCCACACACUUUCGUCUCUGUUCCUGGUUUUGCUCCGGAUUGUUUUCCCUAGCCACAGGUGCUGUAUCUCCGGGUGUGCCCGGCUCACCCAGGUGGCCGCACGCAGAUGCCGUGCGCGGUGUGGCCGAUGCCCCGCCGCGUCCCCUCCUGACGGAGGCCUGUGCUAAGAACAGAACAACAAGCGAGGCCCUCAAGAUUGAUCUUCCUGUCUCCGCACAGUGACAUGUCAUUAAUUGAGAUGCUUCCUUUUAGCACCAGAGGAUGGCUCAUUGCCCAUAUCCCUUCCAACGACAGGGACACAUUUUGGGCACUGAAUUUGAGGGAGAGGAGUCAGGCUCCAUACAAACCUGAGGAUUACAGCCGAGGCACAGCCACGAAUCUAUUAUUGUAGCAGUUUCCUUGAAACGUGGGGAUGAGACAUUUCUCCUCUUUGGAGAGCCAGCUUGGCCAGUCUGCCGCGAUUUGCCUGGGACUUUCCUGGUUUCAGCAUUAAAAGUCCCGUGUCUUGGGAAGCUCGUGGCACACUAGGACAGUCGGUCACCCUAGAGCCGGCAGUACUCAAGCCUCUACUGGGCUAUUUGUCAAAGAUUGAGCACAAGUAGGUUCAGUUCAGACAGUGAAAACAGUGAGAAGAGAGUGAAGAACCAUUUAACUCAGAGUAGAGAAACCUGAGGGUGGGGGUGGGGCAGGGGAGGCUGUUUUGGUGACAAGUCUCACGUGUGUUCGCUGAGUGGGCUAGGACGUGUGUCCAGCUGCUGUCCAUUUCUCCCAGAGCUCAGAGGCAGAGGAAAUGGGUGUGAGUGGAGCCCGAACUUACAACGCCAAAUUUCCUGACAAAUGAACCACAUUUUCCAAGAUCCGUUAUUAUAUCAUCCGUCUUCUUCCCUCCGAUCUGUGAUGGAAGCCCUGUCAUAUACUGAUUCCCCACAUAUAUGUAGUCCUGUCCCCAAACCUCCUGUUCUAUUUGCCUUUCCUAUAUUGAUGCUUGUAAUAUGGGUUACUAUCCGAUAGAGCUAGUACUUUUUUGCUUUUCUUUCUCAGAAUUCCCUUGGCUCUUUGUGGAUUUCUAUCCUUUAUAAAUUAAAAAAAAAAAAAUCCCAAUUAAAAAAAUCAUCUUGAAUUCGUCCGGUUCUGGGGAUCGAAGGUACGGCAUGGUGACUAUAGCUAACAGUACCGUAUUGUAUACUCACAAGUUACUAAGAGAAUGGACUAUUAAUGUCCUCACCGUAACAAGAACAACAAGAUGGUAAUCAUCUGAGGCGAAGGAUGUGUUGGCCAAGCUUAUUGUGGUAAACAUCUCACAAUGUAUACGUACGUGUAUCAAAUCAUCACAUCGUACCCCUAAAGCUUACUUAAUGUUAUGUACCAGUUCCAUCUCAAUAAAGCGAUCAUCUUGAGAUUUUGAUUAAAAUUUCAUGGAUUUGGAGAUAAUUUAGGGGAAAUUAACAUCUGUUCUGUGCUAAGCUGUCCCAUUGGCACGUAUCUCUGUUUAGUUAGGUAGUCUUUUACAUCCUUCAUUACUGUCAUUAUCCAU